rnacentral:rRNA from 1 species
UGGGGAAUAUUGGGCAAUGGGCGCAAGCCUGACCCAGCAACGCCGCGUGAAGGAAGAAGGUCUUCGGAUUGUAAACUUUUGUCUUAUGGGACGAUAAUGACGGUACCAUAGGAGGAAGUCACGACUAACUACGUGCCAGCAGUCGCGGUAAUACGUAGGUGGCAAGCGUUAUCCGGAAUUAUUGGGUGUAAAGGGUGCGUAGGCGGGAUGUAAAGUCAGAUGUGAAAUGCCGCAGCUUAACUGCGGAGCUGCAUUUGAAACUUAUGUUCUUGAGUGAAGUAGAGGCAAGCGGAAUUCCUAGUG